AAUGAAGAAUACCACCACAUUAUAUUAAUACCAUGUAUUGAUAUUAAGGUGUGACUUAAAUCUAGUUUGAAGUUGAGGGACAUUUUAAAUAGAACAUAAUGAGGCUUCGGUGUACAAGUUUAGUCUCUCACUCCCUUGUAGUUGCAGUUACAGUACUGGGUGUCACUGUGCAGUAGGUUACAACCCCACAGUUGUACAGGAAGAGAAAACACCCCUAUUACACUCGACAUUACACCCCUGCAUGCUGUAGGGACUCCUCGGCUCCCUCUCCGUGUCCCCUGGAGGUCCCCGAGCCCGAGUUUCAGAUCAUCCAGUAGGUCAUAUGAGGGGAAGAGGAGCGCUUUGUGGUUUGCGCUGAAGAAAAAGAGGGAGGAGGAGGAGGAGGAGGAGGAGAGCAACGGAGGGAGCAGGUCUGCUUGGGCGGGGUUUCCCUCUUAUUUCAAGGCACAGAAGAGGAGCGAAGCGGGGAGAGUACGGACCCGCUCCAGCUGCUGCAUGGGAAUGUCGCCGUAGUCGAGGCUGGUUGCGUUUUCGCUAGCUUUACGAUAUUCUUCCAGUCUCUCUUUUCUUUUCUAACAUCCUCGUUUUCCCCGUCCUUCUCUCGCAUUGUGACCACGUACUGGCUGAGGUAGUAGUUUGUGCUGUUGGUUGGGUUGUGACACUGCCCGCUAUGGAGAUGACUGCGCAAGCUACUGCCUUGCCAGUGCUGGUGCCUUCACUUCCAGCCGAGGGAAGGAAAAGAAAAAAAAGCCGCCCCUGCUCUUCAACGCUGUUAUACGGUUUUUACAGGAUGGAGGAGGAAGCUUGUAUGUGUUGGAUGGAAAUCCGAUAUGCAAGUUUUUAAAUAAUUUGUAUGCACAUUUUUAAAAUGCACGAGGAAGUCGAUAUCUGCUAUGGAUUUGCAUAGUUUUCCACCACCUCAGGCGGAGUGGGCUGUGCAGAAAGCAUGUAGGUCAACAGUACUGUUGCUAUGAGGAGAGAGGAGUGACGUGGCUACUGCUGCCCACAGAGGUAUCCUACAAUACAUCUGCUCUGAUACACACAAGCUGGCUUUAUGGUCCUCCCCGACGUCUUUUGUUGUUAAUCUUGCAUACCGUCAGACACUGGGGCAGAAAGGGUGUGCUCCUCCUGCACCCAAACACCCCAUCUCUGCAGGGCAGUCAUAAAAUCUGUGCAGUGCUGCUGGCACUGUUCACCAAAUAAUCUGAUUAUUAUGCUAAAUCUGGAUGUGUGUGUGUGUGUGCCUCAGUGCUUGAACUCUGCACAGACAGACAGCACAUGACCUAACCCCCACCCUCCACAGGCGUUUCAGCAGUGGUGUCCUCACUGAAGUCUGGGAGCGCAGCCCUGAUGUGGGUCGUGCGUUGUGAGUUAACCUUUUGAAAUCCUCCCUCUGCUGCUGCCUGACAGCAUCUGGUUGCUCUGUAUCACAUUAGUAUGGGCAGUCAGGGGUCUCGUGAUGGGGGAGGGGACCGGAAUGGGUAAUGAGCUUUGAUUGGCUGCAAGGGCCAGGCAGCCCGGGUCGAUGAAACCCAUGCAGGGUUUUCCAGUCUUGUGUUCUCAGACCCCCACUGCCCUGAUGAUGAUAGCACGCCGCUCACUCAAUGACUGACUGACUGAAGAUUGAAUCCUGCGUUUGACCUUCCAAGAAGACUCAUGAAAUAUUUAUGAGUUCACACUUGAUAGUGUGUUAGGCAGAGUUAUGUUCAUCUUGGGCCACAGCUCUUCCCACUAGCAUCUGUCUUGGUAUUAAAACAAUAAAUUCUACUCCAGCUCGUCAUUGUAGAUAGACGUAGGUUGAAAAGGGGUGCUUUUCCUUUUGAAAAGAAGAAGCGAACUAGUAAACAACACAGGAGACUUGUUAUUGUGAAGCCUGUUGAGUAGCAGCCCUACAGGUCUGCAUUAGAUAUUUUCAAACAACUGUCUGUCUCAUGUAAGAAAUACAAGUUAUCCAGCCUCCGGGGUAAAACCAAACAUCAUUUAUCAUAUCCUGGCUGUAAAGAGAGCCAGCCUAUGGAUCAGUGAGCAGUGCAGAGGCAGCCCAUGUCCUUCUCAUCCAUCUUGUGUCAAAGCUCUCAUUUGUGCCGGGCCGCAGAUAAAUUAUACUUCAGGCAGCCAAAGCCCUAAAGCAGUAAAUUAGAGCCCCCCUGUGGAAAAUCGGCUUGCUCAGAUGGGUAUCACAGCUGCACCGUUGAAGCAGCCGCACCCUUGUCCUGACAGGACAGUCAACCCUUUUGUGUACUCUGUUUUCUCCAGAUACCUUCACACGUGCUGCCUCUGUAACGCAUCAUGUUUGGAAUUAGUUCUGAAAUAAAUUAGUUGAUGAAUUGGGGAGUUGAUCGUGAUAAAAUUAUUUGCCAACAUUUUUGACGGUUUGUCAAACAAAAUGCCAAAAAAGUGUGAUUCUCUUUGGGUUUUGGACUUUUGGUUGGACAAAAGAAGCAACCUGAUCAUGUCAUCCUGGGCUCUGAAGAAUUGUGAUGGUCAGUUUCACAAUUUUUUGAUAUUGUAUGUAAUAAAUGAUUAAUCAAUUUGAAAUCAACAGAAUAAUCGCCAGCAAGAAGAGCUUAAACAAUUGCUCGGUUGCCAGGAAAUGAUUUGGCAACUAUUUUGAUAAUUGAUUCCUCGUUCAAGUCGUUUUUCAAGAAAAAGUGCCAAACAUGAUGCUUCCAGCCUCUCAAAUGUGAAGAUUUGCUGCUUUUUUCUAGUCUAGACAUUAUAGUAAACUGAAUAUCUUUAGGUUUUGAACUGCUAGUCAGGCAAAAAAACAAUUAUUUAGAAAAUAAAAAACAAAAAUCAUUGAUAAGAAAUUAAUUAGUUGGUAGUUGGUUUGUUGCAGGUCAAAAAUAAUAUUAAAAAAAAAUAGUAUCUUUUCACUUAAUCCUCUCCUGAAAGGAAGCUUGAAGGCGGUGGCCCCAGCAGCGCGUCACCUUUCCAGUACAAGAGAUGAGUAUUUCACUGCAAGCCCACUCAGCAUCUCCCUCUGAUCUGUCCACGGGUGGGGUGGGAGUGCUGCAACCUUGGAAAAACAAGCCACCCACAGGAAUGACUGUGUCAUCAUUGCCGUCAUCCAAUCUGGACCACACACACACACACACACACACGUGUGGAGAGUAGGAGUGGAGUGCCAGAUCAGUUCUGGCCUGACUGGAGGAGGAUGCGGCGCUGGCCUGUGGGGACCAGAUGGCCCUCCAGCUCCUGCAGAGGACCCAGGAGUGUGAGACUCCCACUAUAGCACAUUAUGAUCGUCUUGAGUGUGUGUAAAGGCAUUCAUAAAGAUAUGUGUGUGUGUGUGGUGCUCAUAUUUUAAGGUGUGGGUAUGAUAAGAGGAAUUGAACUAAACCUGAAAGUGAGUUAUAAAAGUUACUAUUGUUAAAGACGUGUGUGUUGUCCAGAAACCUUUCCUGGCUUUGUGCUCUGUUAUCAAUCAGAGCAUUUAUUCCCCAUCCUUUGUCUCUUGUUUACUUUCUUUACUUUUAGCUUUAUUUCAGACAUAAAAAAGUCAAAAUUCUGCUUAAAAAAAGAAAAUAAAUGGAAAAUAGGAAAUAAAAGAAAAAGAUACUUGCUAAAAUAAAGAGAUAAAAGUAAGGUAGAAAUCUUACAUCAACCAACAGAGACAUGACAUUUCAGUCAAAAUUAUCUGUGCAUAUUAAGUCAUAGCACAGAGUUACAAAAUGGUUCGUAAGGAAUAAAAGAAAUCAAAGGAUACCCUGUAUAGGCCCUUUUCACGGGAGACAUUUUGACAUGUCUGAGUAGGAAUAGCGCAGGAGUUAAUGGUGAAAUUCAUGAUGGCUGAAUUCCAUUUAGCUACCUCAGUUUCAGAUCCCUGCUGUUGUGCAGGCUGAAUCACUGUCAAACCAUCAUGACUUUCUUAUUUUAACCUGCUAUUGCUACAAUCCCAUCUACUAUGAACUAAUUUACUAGCUAACCAUUUUUUGCAAAUGUAUAGAACUUGAAAGUAUCUGAUAGUGUUGGACACAUCACUGUCCCUGGCUGAUUGUAAUAAUAGAAUUUUACUCGAUGUGUUUCAGGUUUGGCCCUCUGUAAAACUGUUAGUAGCAUGAGUUUCACAUUUUUAGUGUCACAUUGUCUCAAAUCAUUAUGAGGCUAUUUUGAUCCAUUUCUAAAUAAAACGCUGGCGAUUAUCAAAACUAAGCUCAGCGAUGCUGGCUUUCUGAAAGGGCAUUAGAAGCUGAUUCACACCAAAAUUGUAAGCGCAAGGAUGUGUUUAAUGUAAGUUCUCUGAUACCAAAAAGCGUCCUUUCACUGCUCCACAAUCCAUCUCUCACUAUGGAAUGCAUAUUAUUUCAUAUGAUACCUCUGUCAUGUCAUGAACUGUGAAAGCUUCAGUCCUGUGGUUUGAUUUCUAUCUUCGCUCUUUCAAGUAUUUGAUAUCACAGCAGUUUCACCUAAGACUGAGGAGGUUAUUCCUCACUGUACCACACCCACUCUCACUGUAUUAAAGUGAAAGGAGAAUUGAAA